rnacentral:piRNA from 2 species
UACUCUGGUUUCUCUUCAGAUCGU